rnacentral:rRNA from 1 species
UACGAAGGGGCUAGCGUUGCUCGGAAUCACUGGGCGUAAAGGGUGCGUAGGCGGGUCUUUAAGUCAGGGGUGAAAUCCUGGAGCUCAACUCCAGAACUGCCUUUGAUACUGAGGAUCUUGAGUUCGGGAGAGGUGAGUGGAACUGCGAGUGUAGAGGUGAAAUUCGUAGAUAUUCGCAAGAACACCAGUGGCGAAGGCGGCUCACUGGCCCGAUACUGACGCUGAGGCGCGAAAGCGUGGGGAGCAAACAGG